GAUGAACGCUGGCGGCGUGCCUAAUACAUGCAAGUCGAGCGAACAGACGAGGAGCUUGCUCCUCUGACGUUAGCGGCGGACGGGUGAGUAACACGUGGAUAACCUACCUAUAAGACUGGGAUAACUUCGGGAAACCGGAGCUAAUACCGGAUAAUAUAUUGAACCGCAUGGUUCAAUAGUGAAAGACGGUUUUGCUGUCACUUAUAGAUGGAUCCGCGCCGCAUUAGCUAGUUGGUAAGGUAACGGCUUACCAAGGCAACGAUGCGUAGCCGGCCUGAGAGGGUGAUCGGCCACACUGGAACUGAGACACGGUCCAGACUCCUACGGGAGGCAGCAGUAGGGAAUCUUCCGCAAUGGGCGAAAGCCUGGCGGAGCAACGCCGCGUGAGUGAUGAAGGUCUUCGGAUCGUAAAACUCUGUUAUUAGGGAAGAACAAAUGUGUAAGUAACUAUGCACGUCUUGACGGUACCUAAUCAGAAAGCCACGGCUAACUACGUG
rnacentral:rRNA from 1 species